UACAGAGGUCUCAAGCGUUGUUCGGAUUCAUUGGGCGUAAAGCGCACGUAGGUGGCUUUGCAAGUCGAUUGUGAAAUCCCCGGGCUUAACCUGGGAACUGCAGUCGAGACUGCUCUGCUUGAGUAUGGGAGAGGGAGGUGGAAUUUCCGGUGUAGCGGUGAAAUGCGUAGAUAUCGGAAGGAACAUCAGUGGCGAAGGCGACCUCCUGGACCAAUACUGACACUCAAGUGCGAAAGCGUGGGGAGCAAACAGG
rnacentral:rRNA from 1 species